rnacentral:rRNA from 1 species
GUAGGUGGCAAGCGUUGUCCGGGAAUUAUUGGGGCGUAAAGCGCGCGCAGGCGGUUCUUUAAGUCUGAUGUGAAAGCCCACGGGCUCAACCGUGGAGGGUCAUUGGAAACUGGAGAACUUGAGUACAGAAGAGGAAAGCGGAAUUCCACGUGUAGCGGUGAAAUGCGUAGAGAUGUGGAGGAACACCAGUGGCGAAGGCGGCUUUCUGGUCUGUAACUGACGCUGAGGCGCGAAAGCGUGGGGGGCAAACAGGAUUAGAUACCCUGGUAGUCCACGCCGUAAACGAUGAGCGCUAAGUGUUAGGGGGUUUCCGCCCCUUAGUGCUGCAGCUAACGCAUUAAGCACUCCGCCUGGGGAGUACGGCCGCAAAGGCUGA